AAGUCGUAACAAGGUUUCCGUAGGUGAACCUGCGGAAGGAUCAUUAUUGAAUAAGCUUGGUUGGGUUGUUUGCUGGCCUCAAGGGCAUGUGCACACCUAACGGCCAAUCUUCGUAUCACCUGUGCACUUUUUGUAGACCUAAAGUAUGAGGACUGCCGUGCGUCAAGCCAGCUUUUCCUUACAUUUAUGGUCUAUGCUUUUGACUUAAUACACCUACAGUAUGUCAAUGAAUGUUUAUUGCGGGCGCAAUUGCCCUUUAAAAAUAUUGUACAA
rnacentral:misc_RNA from 1 species